rnacentral:rRNA from 1 species
GCUGGCGGCAGGCCUAACACAUGCAAGUCGAACGCGAAAGCUCCUUCGGGAGUGAGUAGAGUGGCGAACGGGUGAGUAACGCGUAGGAAUCUACCCAAGAGUGGGGGACAACCCGGAGAAAUCCGGGCUAAUACCGCAUACGCCCUACGGGGUAAAGUGGGGGAGCUUUUCGGAGCCCUCAUGCUUUUGGAUGAGCCUGCGUCGGAUUAGCUGGUUGGUGAGGUAAUGGCUCACCAAGGCGACGAUCCGUAGCUGGUCUGAGAGGAUGACCAGCCACACUGGGACUGAGACACGGCCCAGACUCCUACGGGAGGCAGCAGUGGGGAAUAUUGGACAAUGGGGGCAACCCAGAUCCAGCCAUGCCGCGUGUGUGAA